GUAUUCAAACUUUUUUUAUAUAAUUUUUGGGUUAAUUUUUAUAAAUUAUUAUAAUCAUGUGCCCAAAAUGCUUAAGCCCAGUUAUUAUUACUAGUGUCUAAGUCUCUUAUAAACCCAAUGACAACCUCUUUCCCAUCCGAUGUGACUCGCCACACAUGUCCAGCUGGUGAACUCGUUGGGCCCAAUCACUGGUUCAAAAUGCUUAAUCCUAGGACUACUCCCGUCCUAGCACGCUUAACUCUCUUAACCUCUUGGGCCUUGCCACCAACCAAAAUGCUUAAGCCCAGUUAUUAUUACUAGUGUCUAAGUCUCUUAUAAACCCAAUGACAACUCCUUUCCUAUCCGAUGUGGGAUUAUUGGGAUGUCACAAAUCAAGUCUCAUUAGAUAAUUUACUUGACUGAAAAUUAAUGUAUCGCUGAUAGAAUAGCAAUUAAUAAUAUGACAAUAACUAUAAUACCACAUACAUUCCCUACCUAUGAAAAUGUCUCCCGAAACUAAUAUAAUAUCUACCUUUGUCUUAUAUUUGAAUCCUAUCUUAU
rnacentral:lncRNA from 1 species